rnacentral:lncRNA from 1 species
AUCCCUGCAAUACAAAGAGUCACCUGAUCACGGAUUCUCUGCCUGGACCUUGGAUAGACCAUUGGACCACAUCUUGUGAUGGAGUGCGGUUCAAGAAAUGACAUUCCCGAAAGGAGAGAAGCUGUAGGGUUGGGCGGACACACGCAGUGGUGGGGGACUGGGGCCCAAGGGGAGGCGUGUGGGGAGGAACCCCUCCUGUCCAGGAAGGCCCAGUCUUUGGUGGUCUCGGCAAAAUGAAGGAUGGGCCCCAAGUGGAGAGCAGCACGUCCACAGAACUCAUUUCUAUCACCCCAGUUUGUUUUACACUCCACCAGGAAAAUCUUCUGUCCACGGGACUCUUUUUUUUUUUUUUUUUGAGACGGAGUCUAGCUCUAUCGCCAGGGUGGAGUGGAGUGUGCGAUCUCAGCUCAUUGUAACCUCUGCCUCCAGGGUUCAAGGCAUUCUCCUGUUUCAGCCUCCUGAGUAGCUGUGAUUACAGGCAGGCGCUGCCACGCCCAGCUAAUUUUUGUAUUUUUAGUAGAAACGGGGUUUCACCAUGUUAGCCAGGUUGGUCUCGAUCUGUUGACCUCAUGAUCCACCUGCCUUGCCCUGCCAAAGUCCUGGGAUUACAGGCAUGAGCCACCGUGCCCGGCCUCACAGGAUUUUUUUUUUAAUGGAAGCAUGCCAUACCUAAGACCUACUACCCUGAGAAGCAGUGAAGUGCUCCUGGGGCCCACCAAGGCCACACAAGUCAAGGAGUGGAUGGCCUUGCUCCAGCUACUGCUCAGAUCACCUUUGCAAGAUGACAUUGUGUUGGGAGAUGGUCAUCAGAGCCAGGGCCAUGGAAGAUGCUGUCAGGAGGCACGAGGAAAGGCUAUGGGAGCACAAAGCAAGAAAGUGGCCUUCUGCAAGCCAGGAAGAGAGGCCUCCCCAGAAACCAACUCUGUGAGCUCAUCGAUCUUUGACUUUUGGCCUCCAGAACAUUGAGAAAAUAAAAGUCUGUUGUUAAACCACCCAACCUUUAGUAUCUUUCUAUGGCAGCCUCAGCUGACUAAUACCCUUGGACACAGGUGGAGGAAUUGGUAAUUUU